rnacentral:lncRNA from 1 species
UUUUUCUAUUUAUUUGCUUUAUCUUUGGCAAUUUUUGACAAAAAAGGGGAGAGCAAUGAUGAACAAGUAUUGAUCGUAGCAAAGGAGAAGAUGGAAUAAAGAACAAAGGAGAAGAAGGUAUAAAGAACAAAAGGGGAGAAUGAGUGAAAUUUCGAGGAGAAGAAGCAAUGAAAAUUUGAGAACAAUGAAUGUAAGAAUGUCCAAUGGU